AAGUCGUAACAAGGUCUCUCGGAGCAGAUCCUUCUGCCAGCGAUCCUUGGAAGCCUUUGCGCCCUCGCAAGAGGGGGUUCAGCGACUCUAAACAAGAACCGCGCAAGUAGCCCUCGCGGCUGCAACAUGAUCGAAUUGCGGGGAAACUCCUAAAGCUCUCGGUACCAACCCGCCCGCAGAAAUGCGGCGGGGGCCUGCGCUAACCACGCGGGGCGGUAAGAAUCCGGGAGAUGCUACAAUGGGUGAUCCGCAGCGAAGCCCCUACUGGCGCAAGCCCACGGGGAACGUUCACAGACUAGGUGGUCACGGGCAGCGUCCGCUGCUUAAGAUAUAGUCGGGCCGCCGGAGAAAUCCGGCGGGGUACUCGCUGAGUAUGAACCGUUCCGUUGGUGAACCAGCGGAAGGAUCAUUACAGAGAUCAUGCCCUCGCGGGUAGACCUCCCACCCUGUGUUAUUUACCAUUGCUGCUUUGGCAGGCCGCCCUCGGGCUCUCGGCCUCGGCUGAGGAGCGCCUGCCAGAGGACCCCNACUCUUGUGUNUACGUGUCGUCUGAGCAUUAUAUAAUAAGUUAAAACUUUC
rnacentral:rRNA from 1 species